rnacentral:rRNA from 1 species
UACGUAGGUGACAAGCGUUGUCCGGAUUUACUGGGCGUAAAGAGCGCGCAGGCGGUCGUUCAAGUCGAGUGUGAAAGCCCCCGGCUCAACUGGGGAGGGUCACUCGAUACUGAUCGACUCGAAGGCAGGAGAGGGAAGUGGAAUUCCCGGUGUAGUGGUGAAAUGCGUAGAUAUCGGGAGGAACACCAGUGGCGAAGGCGACUUCCUGGCCUGUUCUUGACGCUGAGCCGCGAAAGCCAGGGGAGCGAACGGG